ncrna:unclassified sequences DTF3800-I RNA
UAAUAUUGCAGGUAGAAAUACGCUGUAUACUCGUGUAAUUGAAUUAACGUUUAAGCGAUAUGUAAUAUCGUCGAUGCACGGGGAAGCCGCCUUCGGGCGGCUUUUUGCAUACAU